CAGUCGCCGCGGGAAUACGAAGGGGGCUAGCGUUGCUCGGAAUUACUGGGCGUAAAGGGAGCGUAGGCGGAUCGUUAAGUUGGGGGUGAAGGCCCGGGGCUCAACCUCGGAACUGCCUUCAAUACUGGCGAUCUUGAGUAUGAGAGAGGUGUGUGGAACCCCGAGUGUAGAGGUGAAAUUCGUAGAUAUUCGGAAGAACACCAGUGGCGAAGGCGACACACUGGCUCAUUACUGACGCUGAGGCUCGAAAGCGUGGGGAGCAAACAGGAUUAGAUACCCGAGUAGUCCCUGUCUCUUAUAA
rnacentral:rRNA from 1 species